rnacentral:rRNA from 1 species
UACGUAGGGUCCGAGCGUUGUCCGGAAUUAUUGGGCGUAAAGAGCGUGUAGGCGGCCCGGUAAGUCCGCUGUGAAAGUCCAGGGCUCAACCCUGGGAUGCCGGUGGAUACUGUCGGGCUCGAGUCCGGAAGAGGAGUGUGGAAUUCCUGGUGUAGCGGUGAAAUGCGCAGAUAUCAGGAGGAACACCAAUGGCGAAGGCAGCACUCUGGGACGUGACUGACGCUGAGACGCGAAAGCGUGGGGAGCAAACAGG